rnacentral:lncRNA from 1 species
GGUGGCUGUUCGCCAGGCUCCGGGGCCAGGCUCUGGCCACGCUUGCUGGUCCUGGGUCAGUCCACAGAGAAGGUGGCGAGCUGAAGCGGCGGCCAGUUACGUGGCGGACCUGCGGGUCUCAGCUGGCACGUCACUUCCGACUGGUUGAGUUUUAGCCUUUCCAGGAUUAGGUAACCAUUCCGAGGAGGAAGAGUAUUUCAAAAGUCUGUGAAGAAUGUGUUUGCCUGGAGACUGAUUAUUAACAAGAUUUUAUGCUGAGUAUGGAAGGAAAGGUGCCUGUGGAGCCACUCCACGCAUCUGUGCUCCACGUAGUUCCUGUACUGCUCUGUCACACCAGUCGCCUCCCACUUCUGACCAGUGAUCUGUGCGGUGGAGUCUGCCUUGGUCCAGGAGCACAGGUCCUUAUUCAGGGCGAUGUGAUCCAUGCCAUCAUAGGCAUCAUGAAGGUACCCGCGCAGAAAGCGCCCAUCAGGCCCCACGUCGCAGCCUAUCACUCUCUGGAAGGCAGGGAGAGCGCGACACUUGGUGCCGAAACCCGGGAAUUGUGAGUAUAUUUAAAAAUAGCAAAGAUACAGUGAAGGUAGAAAUUCUGAUACUGGUUGAGAUAUGUUAUGAUUUACUGAUAAUAUUGAGGUAUAUUUAACUUUUUAAUUUUAUGUGCAUUGAUCUCACAUUUAACAGUUUUGUCAGAGUGAAAUACAAUGUUUCCAUUUUGUUUACUUGAUUUUUAGAAGUGGUAGUUCUAACAGGAAGAUUUGCAGCUUUUUAAACUUAGCAUUUUAGGGAGAAGGUGAGAGAAGGCAAUACAUGAGUACCUUUUCCCCCUCAUCAUAUUGCACGUUCAUCACUAGGACGACCACAAAGGAAAGGUUAGAAGUUUGCUGAAGAGCAACCACAAAGGGACAGCAGCUGUAUGUUCACGGAUCGCGACUGUAAAGGUAAAGCUAAUGGGGUCGGAAAUUUUUAGACUCCGAAUGGAGAGCCCCUUGCGGGCACUUUUGAAAGCUAACGGAACCCCUCUUGAGAGUUAUUUAAGAAGUUGUUUUUCAGGAG